AAAAACCCCUGUAGCCAAAGUUAGAAAUAGAAGCAGAAGCUUCAUCGGGUUCAACAUUCCCUUCCGCCUUUCUUCAACUUCAGUUAUCAAUUCAAGAUUCACGCACGAAUUGAGCAGUUUGGAUCGAUAAAGAGUCGAGCUUUGGUUAGUUGGCAUCGAGAGAGACUGCAGGUGACGUUGCUGAGGAUUACGGUAACUAGAGAGCACGAGUUGAAAGUUCCUGGUGAGCCCCGCACUUGUCCGUGUGGGCGAAGAGUCUAUUAUUUAUGAUGGUCUUUUCUUUUGAACUCUUAGAGUUGCUCCACAGUCAUUUGAUUUAUUCCAUGAGUAUUCUUUAUUUAUUAUAGACUGGUGACUAGUAUUAGACGUUUUUCCCGUAUUUCAGAAAUAUUUUAGUAGCAUUACGUUGAAAACGGGUUAAUUGAGGAUGAUUGCAUUUAGUUUGGUUGA